AGAGUUUGAUCCUGGCUCAGGAUGAACGCUAGCGACAGGCUUAACACAUGCAAGUCGAGGGGCAGCGGUGGUGAAGGCUUGCCUUUACCAGCCGGCGACCGGCGCACGGGUGAGUAACACGUAUGCAACCUGCCUGCCACAGCCGGAUAAUCGGGAGAAAUUCCGUCUAAUACGGCAUAAUGCACCUAUGGGACAUCCUGUUGGUGCCAAAGGUUGAUUCCGGUGGCGGAUGGGCAUGCGUCGCAUUAGUUAGUUGGCGGUGUAACGGACCACCAAGACGACGAUGCGUAGGGGUUCUGAGAGGAAGGUCCCCCACACUGGUACUGAGACACGGACCAGACUCCUACGGGAGGCAGCAGUGAGGAAUAUUGGUCAAUGGGCGGGAGCCUGAACCAGCCAAGUCGCGUGAGGGAUGACGGCCCUAUGGGUUGUAAACCUCUUUUGCCGGGGAGCAAAGUGCCGCACGUGUGCGGUUUGGAGAGUACCCGGAGAAAAAGCAUCGGCUAACUCCGUGCCAGCAGCCGCGGUAAUACGGAGGAUGCGAGCGUUAUCCGGAUUUAUUGGGUUUAAAGGGUGCGUAGGCGGACGCUUAAGUCAGCGGUAAAAUUGCGGGGCUCAACCCUCGUCGAGCCGUUGAAACUGGGUGCCUUGAGUGGGCGAGAAGUACGCGGAAUGCGUGGUGUAGCGGUGAAAUGCAUAGAUAUCACGCAGAACUCCGAUUGCGAAGGCAGCGUACCGGCGCCCAACUGACGCUGAAGCACGAAGGCGUGGGUAUCGAACAGGAUUAGAUACCCUGGUAGUCCACGCAGUAAACGAUGAAUGCUAGUUGUCCGGGGCGAUUGAGUUCUGGGUGACACAGCGAAAGCGUUAAGCAUUCCACCUGGGGAGUACGCCGGCAACGGUGAAACUCAAAGGAAUUGACGGGGGCCCGCACAAGCGGAGGAACAUGUGGUUUAAUUCGAUGAUACGCGAGGAACCUUACCCGGGCUCAAACGCAGGAGGGAUGUUUUUGAAAGGAGGCAGCCAGCAAUGGUCUCCUGCGAGGUGCUGCAUGGUUGUCGUCAGCUCGUGCCGUGAGGUGUCGGCUUAAGUGCCAUAACGAGCGCAACCCCUACCUACAGUUGCCAUCGCGUGAUGGCGGGCACUCUGUGGGGACUGCCUGCGCAAGCAGUGAGGAAGGCGGGGAUGACGUCAAAUCAGCACGGCCCUUACGUCCGGGGCGACACACGUGUUACAAUGGCAGGUACAGCGGGAAGCCACCCGGCGACGGGGCGCGGAACCCGAAAACCUGUCUCAGUUCGGAUUGGAGUCUGCAACCCGACUCCAUGAAGCUGGAUUCGCUAGUAAUCGCGCAUCAGCCACGGCGCGGUGAAUACGUUCCCGGGCCUUGCACACACCGCCCGUCA
rnacentral:rRNA from 1 species